rfam:Ovis aries breed Texel chromosome 14, whole genome shotgun sequence.
UCCCUGGUGGCUCAGAUGGUAAAGCGUCUGCCUGCAAUGCUGGAGACCCAGGUUCGAUAUCUGGGUCAGGAAG